CAACUCCUGUAUUACUUUCAAAGACUGUAAGUAAUUUGUUCUCUUCUUUCUUUUUAUCGUA
rnacentral:antisense_RNA from 1 species